rnacentral:rRNA from 1 species
GCCUACGGGAGGCAGCAGUGGGGAAUAUUGCACAAUGGGGGAAACCCUGAUGCAGCAACGCCGCGUGAGUGAAGAAGUAUUUCGGUAUGUAAAGCUCUAUCAGCAGGGAAGAAGAAAGACGGUACCUGACUAAGAAGCCCCGGCUAACUACGUGCCAGCAGCCGCGGUAAUACGUAGGGGGCAAGCGUUAUCCGGAUUUACUGGGUGUAAAGGGAGCGUAGACGGCAUAGCAAGUCUGAAGCGAAAGCCCGUGGCUCAACCG